AAUGGGGUAAAUUUAUAUUCAUAGUGGGGGGGGGAAGAACAUCAAUACACUGGAAGGGUAAAGAGGUCAGAGACAGGAAAUACUCAACUUUUACGUGCUUUGAAAGUGACUCAAAGAGGGAAAAACAAUCCAAUCCAUUGGGGGCAGAGAAUAGAUUUGCACCCUAUAGGGGAGUAGAAGGGUAACAAAUGGUCUGGUGGGGAGGGAAGCAGUACAAGAGAGGGAGGGAGCAGGGGGUUAAUUUUAGAAAGACUACAGGGAAAAUAAGGGGGGGAUAAAUAGGGAGGGGGGUAGAAAGGGAAGUAAAAUAAGGGUGGGAACAAGGGGGACUGUUCAAAAGCAAACAUUGGUGUAGAAGGAAAUAGUGAAAGAAGAAAAGGCAGGAAAAGGAGAUAAAAACUGCUGGGAAAAUUGGAAGACAGUGUGGGAGAGAUUAGGUUUGGAUCAACACCUCACACCCUACACUAAGAUAAAUUCAGAAUGGGUGAAUGGCUUGAAUAUAAAGAAGGAAACUAUAAGUAAAUUAGGUGAACACAGAAUAGUAUACAUGUCAGACCUUGGGAAGGGAAAGAUUUUAAAACCAAGCAAGACUUAGAAAGAGUCACAAAAUGUAAAAUAAAUAAUUUUGACUACAUCAAAUUAAAAAGUUUUUGUACAAACAAAACCAAUGUAACUAAAAUCAGAAGGGUAGCAACAAAUUGGGAAACAAUCUUCAUAAAAACCUCUGACAAAGGUUUAAUUACUCAAAUUUACAAAGAGCUAAAUCAAUUGUACAAAAAACCAAGCCAUUCUCCAAUUGAUAAAUGGGCAAGGGACAUGGAUAGGCAGUUUUCAGAUAAAGAAAUCAAAACUAUUAAUAAGCACAUGAAAAAGUGUUCUACAUCUCUUAUAAUCAGAGAGAUGCAAAUCAAAACAACUUCUGAGGUAUCACCUCACACCUAGCAGAUUGGCUAACAUGACAGCAAAGGAAAGUAAUGAAUGCUGGAGGGGAUGUGGCAAAGUAGGGACACUAAUUCAUUGCUGGUGAAGUUGUGAAUUGAUCCAACCAUUCUGGAGGGCAAUUUGGAACUAUGCCCAAAGGGCGAUAAAAGACUGUCUGCCCUUUGAUCCAGCCAUAGCACUAUUGGGCUUGUACCCCAAAGAGAUAAUAAGGAAAAAGACUUGUACAAGAAUAUUCAUAGCUGCACUCUUUGUGGUGGCCAAAAAUUGGAAAAUGAGGGGAUGCCCUUCAACUGGGGAAUGGCUGAACAAAUUGUGGUAUAUGUUGGUGAUGGAAUACUAUUGUGCUAAAAGGAAUAAUAAAGUGGAGGAAUUCCAUGGAGACUGGAACAACCUCCAGGAAGUGAUGCAGAGCGAAAGGAGCAGAACCAGGAAAACAUUGUACACAGAGACUGAUACACUGUGGUACAAUCGAAGGUAAUGGACUUCUCCAUUAGUGGCAAUGCAAUGACCCUGAACAAUCUGUAGGGAUCUAAAAAACACUAUCCACAAGCAGAAGAUAAACUGUGGGAGUAAAAACACCGAUGAAAAGCAACUGCUUGACUACAGGGGUGGAGGGGACAUGUCUGAGGAGAGACUCUAAAUGAACACUCUAAUGCAAAUACCAACAACAUGGAAAUGGGUUUGAAUCAAGAACACAUGUGAUACUCAGUGGAAUCGUGCAUGGGCUAUAGGAGGUGAGAGGGUGGGGAGGGAAGAAAAGAAAAUUAUCUUUGUUUCCAAUGAAUAAUGUUUGGAAAUGACCAAAUAAAAAUUUUUUAAACAGUGAAAAAAUAAAUAAAAAAUAAAAAAAUAAUAAUAAUUUUAAAAAAGGGCUAAUAGCAUUUGGCAUCUUAAUCCAGCAUAUAAUCUGGUAUUUUUCUUGAUCCUAAUAUCACUUUUGCUUUUGGUGAAGUUAUAUUGUCGGACUAAAAGAGAUUUCUUUGAGAUUGGAGCUUUAGAACUUAGAAGAUAUUGGGAUCCUCCCAGUUUGGUUAAUACCAAAACCUCCCUCUUUAAUUCAUCACUACUGCUUCCCUAAGUAUACAGGAGGUUUACCUUGUCUCCCAGGUAUUAAACAAAAGCAUUCACAUUUAGCAACUGUCAAUAAUACUAGAGUGGAAAAGUCAAUGAAUCAUAAACAAUCAUGUAAUUUCAAGAGUCACAUGAGUUACAGUGUGCAUCAGGCUGGACUCAAAGGAGAACAUGGAUGUUGGCAAUGUCAGAAAAUUCACAGACAUUGUCCAGAAAGACGGGCCACUGUUCCUGUAACUAUAUAAGACAUGAUGUCCCACCUUGUAGCUUCAGAAUUACAGCAUUGUGGCCUUUUUGCGCCAUUCAUUUUUGCAGCCUGCAUCCUCAUUCUGCAUCCACAGAACUCAUAAUAUAAUGCAAUGGAAUUACUUAGGGCCUAUGAAUAUUCUCUCUUUAAUUACUGUUUAAAUACAAACUCAAGACUCUUAAUUAGGCUCAAGUCAACUCUAAGGCAGGAAUACCUCAUCUGACAGUGAAAAAGCCACUGCUUAAUUUAAAAAAAAAAUUUGUAUUUUAAGGAACAAGAUUGAUCAUAUUAUUGAUUUAACAACUACUAUUGACUGUGGUAUGACAUUUAAUAUCCUACCCAAAAACACCUGCGUUCUCUUAUAUGUACUUUCACUAAAAUCUACUUUGUCACUGCAACCUACCGCCUUUAAUGGGGCUUUUUCAAUGACUCCCAAUCUUAGUUGAGGCCAGUUUUAUAUUUGUGCAGGAGUUGCUUUUUCAUCUCUUCCUGCUGGAUGGGAUAGUGAAUGUGUUAUUGCUCAUUUAAUCCCACCCAUAACUGUGAGAAACCACUCCAGAGGUCUUGUUUCUGUGUCCUCCACUAGAAAUAAGGGAAGCAACAAUCCAAUAGCUGAGUUAAGUUUCUUUCUGAAUCCGUAACAGCACUAAUUUGGUUCGGGGGGAAAACUUACCAUACAUUAUUUAUAUGUCUAGGCUAACCACUUUUGAAAACCAGCUGGUUCUACAGUAUCUUCCAGAUGUAAACAAGACUUUGUUUCAAGAUUCCAUCAAGGUUUUGGACUAAAUGCAUAUCCCUAUUACUUGACUCUCUCCCAGUCCAGUCAUAAACAUUAUUGACUUCUAAGGAAUUGAGACUUUUCCCCUUUCAAUGAUCUUAUAGCAAUUAAUGAUGCACCUGUGAUCCCAGAUGAACCUGAUUCCAACUCUUCAUGACUAGAAGACCUUGUAUGGGAAAUACAAACAAGAGGAGACAAGCCAUACCAUGUCUCAGGGUAGCUGAACCGCUGGGAUACCAUCUUGGAGUCACAUGUUGCCCAGUUUGUGCAAAAGUUUGCCAAAGACACUAUUCAGAUUUGUAUCAAGAUCAUCUUCUCUAAAGGAAGUGUUGUUUGACCACUGUGAUGGGACCUCCAGAUUAUUCAGUCUACUUAUGUUGUUUCUGCGUCAAUGAGUACACUGUUCUUUACUAAGCAUGCAUUGUACUCAUAUAAUUGUAAUCAAUUCCCUAUAAGCUGUACCUAUGCCUCAGUCUUAUGAAUAACCAUAUAGGUGCAUCUCAGUAGGGGAAGGCCCUCUCUGGAUUUGCAUUGAGCCUCAGAGGACUGCUCUCUAGGAAAAAUAUUGUAAACUUCUUUCAUUGCCCAUAGAUUGAAAUGAUCCUCAAGAAAAUAGAGGCAUUUCCUUUAGGAUCAGAGGAGGAACUAUGGAGAAUGAGAAUCCCAGUCCCCUGACUCUUUAAAAAAGAACCCCGUUAUCACAAUUAGUAUGUAACCAAAGGAAGUGAUUAAUCUGGGACAAUACUGAAUAGGGAUUAACAGAAUUAUAGGAAUAUUAAAAGAAACCCAGUAAUUAUAUUUUAUAAAGGAAGUCUAAACUAUGCAGCAAAUCUAGUUACUUCCUUUAUAAGUUAGCAUUUGUGUUAGGGUGUGACUCAUGAAAUGAGCUAAAAACUUAUCAAUCACAUAAGGCAUGUGAAGAGUGGCUGGAGCUCUGGAAGUGUGCUGACCCCUUGACCAAGGGACAUUGUUAGUAUAUCAGACUGAAAACCAUCCUAACUAACCAGGACUCAAUAAGAACCUGAGAUACCUCCUCAAGAAGGUAGCACUGAAUCAUUUCUAGACAAUGGACCUCCUGCCCAUUAAGACCUUGGAUUGGUGGUUGACUUUUGGGGUGGGAUCUUGAACGAUGUAAUUCUAGGAUAUAAAAAGGAGAAAACUUCCACUUAGUUGUCUUAGGUCAGGACAAAAACCUAAUGACUCAGCUUUGCUGCAAGACCACUGUCUCUCAAUAAACCCAUUACUGGCUUGGA